GGCUCGGUGGUGGGUGGUCCACAUCUGCUUCUGUUGUUGAUCCGGGUCUGCAUUUAAGCAGAAGUUGCCUGUUCGAUUCGGGCCCGAGCCA